UACGUAGGGGGCGAGCGUUGUCCGGAUUUAUUGGGCGUAAAGAGCGUGUAGGCGGUUCGGUAAGUCUGUCGUGAAAUCCUGAGGCUCAACCUCGGGCGUGCGAUGGAUACUGCCGGGCUAGAGGGUGGUAGAGGCGAGUGGAAUUCCCGGUGUAGCGGUGAAAUGCGCAGAUAUCGGGAGGAACACCAGUAGCGAAGGCGGCUCGCUGGGCCACACCUGACGCUGAGAC
rnacentral:rRNA from 1 species